UCCCACGUGUCGAAGCACGACUUAGAGGCAUAACCGCAUUGAAAGCAAUGUCGCAAGUGAGGUAAUCUUCACACAACCCAUGUAAUACAUAAGGGAAAGAGAUACAUAGUUGGCUUACAAUCGCCACUUCACACAAUUACAUGAAUAAAGCAUUACAUCAUCCAGAUACAAACAAGGUCCGACUACGGAACCAAAAUAAAAGAAGAACCCCAAAUGCGACAAAGGUCCCCGAUCGACCCCAACUGGGCUCCACUACUGAUCAACUAGAACGAAACAACACAAAGGGCAAGAUCUUCAUCGAGCUCCCCCUUGAGCUUGGUUGCGUCACCUGCUCGGUAACAUAGGCACCUGCAAACUGGUUUUGGAAGUAUCUGGUGAGCCACGGGGACUCAGCAAUCUCGCACCCGCGAGAUCAAGACUAUUUAAGCUUAUAGGAAGGAUGGAGUAAUGAGGUGGAGCUGCAGCAAGCGACUAGCAUAUAUGGUGGCUAACAUACGCAAAUGAGAGCGAGAAGAGAAGGCAAAGCACGGUCGAUAAAAGUAUGAUCAAGAAGUGAUCCUGGACUACCUACGUCAAGCAUAACUCCAACAACCGUGUUCACUUUCCGGACUCCGCCGGAAAGAGACCAUCACGGUUACACACGCGGUUGAUGUAUUUUAAUUAAGGUCAACUUCGGGUUUUCUACAACCGGACGUUAACAAAUUCCCAUCUGCCACAUAACCGCGGGCACGGCUUUCGAAAGUUCAAAUCCCUGCAGGGGUGUCCCAACUUAGCCCAUGACAAGCUCUCACGGUCAACGAAGGAAUAGACCUCCACCCGAGACGUUCCGAUCAGACUCGGUAUCCCGGUACAACAAGACAUUUCGACAGGGUAAAACUAAACCAGCAACACCGCCCGAAUGUGCCGACAAAUCCCGAUAGGAGCUGCACAUAUCUCUUUCUCAGGGCACACUCAGAUGAGACUAGCUACGAGUAAAACCAACCCUCAAGUUUCCCCGAGGUGGCCCCGCAGGCAGCUCAGUUCGGACCACACUCAGAGGAGCACUGGCCAGGGGGGGUUAGAAUAAAGAUGACCCUUGAGUCUGCAGAACCCAAGGGAAGGUGGUAGGUUGUUAGUGCAAAUGGUAAAACCAAUGUUGGGCAUUGCUGGAGGAGCUUUAGUUAAGGCGAACUGUCAAGGGGUUCCCAUUAUAGCCCAACCGUGUAAGGAACGCAAAAUCCGGGAACAUAACACCAAUAUGACGGAAACUAGGGCGGCAAGAGUGGAACAAAACACCAGGCAUAAGGCCGAGCCUUCCACCCUUUACCAAGUAUAUAGAUGCAUUAAUUAAAUAAGAUAUAUUGUGAUAUCCCAACAAGUAAACAUGUUCCAACAAGGAACAACAUCUCCAUGUUCCAACAAGGAACAAACUUCAAUCUUCACCUGCAACUAACAACGCUAUAAGAGGGGCUGAGCAAAGUGGUAACAUAGCCAAUCAACGGUUUGCUAGGACAUGGUGGGUUAGAGGUUUGACAUGGCAAUUUGGGAGGCUGACAAGCAAAUGGUAGGCAUCGUAGCAUUGGCAUAGCAAGAGCGAGCAAACUAGCAUAGCAAAGAUAGUAGUGAUUUCGAGGGUAUGAUCAUCUUGCCUGAGAUCCCGCAAGGAAGAAGAACGAAUCCAAGAAGAAGACAAACGGUCGUAGACGAACAAAUCCUCACAACUCCGGAACGAAACCGAAGCUAACAAGAGAAGCAACCCGGAAAGAAACAAACAACAUAGUAAACAAACAUCACAUAAACAGGGCAUGAUGCGCAAACAAGUAUGAUGCAUGUCCGGUUUAAUGAGGCAUGGCAUGGCAAAGUGCAACAGACAAUACUACAAGUUAAGUGGAGCUCAAUAUGCAACGAGGUGCAUGUUGACGGAACACCACAUCAAUUAUUUAGUUCUCUCUCGUUUAAGCUACCCAACAAUAUUAACUGUUGUUAAACAUGGCAAGAGGUGAAGCAUAAUAUAAACUAUACCAUCUAAACAAUUUAAAUGGGGCCGGACAUAACAAAUAACAAAUCCGGUAAAUCCCCAUAUGCAUUUAGCAAUUUAAUGCAACAACAAGUUUAAACAUUUUAAAUGUUGUUAUCAUGAUGCGGAUGACAUAUACAAGUUUUAUGCAAUUUUAUGAAAAUGUUGACAUGAGCAUGUUAUGAAGCAUUUGGUCACCGUGGUGGAAGAAAGGGGUGCCACGGCAACGAAUCCGAAAAUGAUGCCACGGCAACAUAUCGGUUCCGGUAACUCGAUUGAGAUGUGGGUGCAAAAGGAAGGCGUGAGCGUGUCAUGCAAGAUGGUGGGGUGAUCCCGACUUCCGGGUUCCCACGGGACGGUGGCACGGCAAAAGAGGGGCAUCGCAAGGACGAUUCGAUCACAGAGCAAACGAUGCAUCUCAUUCAACACAUGCAAGGGCAUCUCAUCGCGGUCGUCGUCUCGGGGUUAUACCUUUGAAGCGUGCGUUUUCGGGGCGGAUCGAGUUCGGUACGAUGUAGAGGAAGUAGACGUUCUCGUAGCGGUCGUAGAGGAAGUAGUUGUUCACGUGUCGUCGUGGGAAGUAGUCGUACGCGGCGUCGGUAGUGGUACACGGGUCUUCGGGCGACGGUAGAUGGUACAUGUUUCCGUAGAUGAACUUGGCGAUCCGAAGGGGUACUUGACGAAAUCCACAUCGAAUGUAGUCGUGCACGUCGUAGUCGGACUUGACAAAAAUGCACACCGGCUGUAGUCGUGGUACUUGACAUUAUCCGGGACGGUCUUGGUGAAAUCCAGAACAACACCAAAGGCCUCGGGUUUCGAUCUUCAGGAGCAGCGGAGAGCACGCACACAGGGCACGGCAGAGGUUGUGCACGGCAACAACGGGUCGGCCAAAAGAGGCAGAGGCCAUGGCAGGGCAGGCGCUUGGGGCGCCGGUGGCUGCCUCAGCAAGGAGAAGGGCGCGACGGGGUGGCCUGGAGGUCAAGGAGGCAGGCGGGUUCACGGGAGGCGCAGGAGGGCAACGAAGCAGCAGAGGCGUGGGGACGGCGGAGCACACGACGCUGGCGACCAUGGACGGGCGACGAUGCGGCCGCCGGCAACGGCUCCGAAGGCCGGCGUGGUGGAGCGGAGGGAGGCGAGGCGAAGAAGCAGCGCGCGGGGGCUCUGCUCCCUGGUGGUUGGGGCGGAUCCAGGUGGAGGCGACCCGGAACAGGGCGCGGCGGCCAUGGGAGCUCCAAGGAGGGCGGUGGCUGGUCGUGGUCGCCGGCGAUGGAGGCGGAGCAAAGGACGGGUGAAGCAGAGGAGCCGAUGGCGGACGCGGGAGGCCGGGCGCGACGCCAUGGGGAGGCGACGACGCGGAGGAGGGAAGGCUGCAGGGGCAACGACGGAGGUCCUGGCACGGCCGCAGGCGACGGAGGAGGGAAGGCGUCGCGGCGGAGAGGAUGGGAGACGAGGCAGGGGCGCCGGAGUUGGCCUCCAGUGGCGGCGCGGGAGAAGGAAGGGCGAGGGGGAGGCCGCAGGGAGAUGGGGAUCGAGGGGAGCGGCCGCGGUAGCGAGGGAGGUGACGGCUGCGCGUGGGGAUCGGGCACGGGGUAGCGGCGCUGGAGGAGAACGAGGGAGAGAUGGAGACCGAUGGGAGUCGGGCUAGGGUUAGGUGCUGGGGUUAGGUGGGCUGGACUGCGGAUGGGCCUAAGAGGCCGGCUAGGUUACAGGCUGCUGGGCUUCUUCUCCCUCUCUUAUAUUUUCUGAAAAUAGAAAAUAAAUCAAGGAAGAAAAGGAGAAGAAAGGAAGGUCCAAAAAUGUUCGGAUUUUUGGUGGAGCUCUGGAAAAUGAUGAAAUAAAUAUUGGCAAGGUUGGAGACCAAACUUGAAGCAGAAAAGGAACGAAAUUAUUUUGCAAGUGUGUUUUGGUGAUUUCCGAAAUAGUGGAAUAUUUAAUAUAGCUCCCUAAUAUUGGAGGAUAUGUUAUAAAGAGAAGUCACCCUUCCCUCGAUUUAAAUGGAUCGAAGAUCCAUACAAUUUAUUUAGUUGAGUUUUUUAAAAAUUAAUGAUAUGAUGGCAUGAUGCAAUGCAAAUGAUGACAUGAUGAAAUGCAACACACAAGAAAAUGACCUGGCAACAUCAGCGAAUAACUGAACGACACCUGGCACAACGGUCUCGGGGCGUUACAACACUCCACCACUACGAGAGGAUCUCGUCCCGAGAUCUAGAAUGGCACCGGAGGGAAAAACAGAGGAGAAAGAGAAGGGGAAAACUACGUUGCUUCUUUGACAAACGAGUGAAACCAAAGAACCUUGCGAGGUUGAACUAAUUUAAAGAAGAAAACAACAAAGAUGGACGAAGUUGAAAACACUCCGUUAGAAAAGAGAAACAAGGAAGAACAAAUUCGAACAACACUCCGGUUGAAAAGAGAUGCAAAACUUGAUAAGAUGAAAAGAACUUGAAUGAGAACACAACACUCCGGUUAAAUGGAUAAGCAAGAAAAGAACACGAUCCUCACGAAUCGAGAUGGUGAGUGAAAAGAGCAACGUCACAAUGCCUCCGGAAGAAAGAAUAGAAGAUAAAUCAUUGGAAUAACAGAAUGGAGAAGAAAAUGCCAACUUCUGCCACAAAUGAGUUUGGAAAGCAUCCUUGCAAAGAAGAAUUGAACGGAGUUGUUGGAAAAUCAACAACGAAAAGCACAAGCUUGUAGUGGGCUUAUGGAAAACAUCUCAAAAUUAUGAGGUGACAACCGGCCACUAACGGAAACAAUUGCUUGCUUGAGAUCAACGAAGAGAUGAAAACUUCUUCCACCAAGAUGAUAAAGAGAUAACUUGGAUCAUUGGCAAGCACCACAAAUAGCAACAUUCCCAAUGGAAGGCUUUUAGGUGAAAUAUGACACAAGAUAACUCCAACAACGAGGUUGAUGGAUUUAAAAAUAACUCAUUCUUAACAACAUGUGAAUCAUGGAAAACAUGAACUCAAAUUAUCAAGAAUGACAUAAUACCACCUCCGAUAAUAUGGUAGAAAGAAAUUGCACUCCGGAUUACAAUAUGAAGAAAGCUUGAGCUCCUUAGGAAAGAAUCUCGAUGAAAACUUUGAGAAGGGAAUUAAAUCCUUGAUGAAUCAUCAUGUAGAGCCUCCGUGAAGAACUCCGGUAAACAAAAGGAAUGAAAAGAAAGAGAAAUUGAAAACACAAGGUGAAUCCUUGCAAUGAUUUAGAUGGAUCUCCGUGAUAAUUAGAGCUUGGAACUCCGGGAAAAAGAGAAGAUGAAACAAAUGAAACCGAGAAUUUGAAGGGCCUCCGGAAUAAAGAAUUAAUCACUUGGAUGAACAAGAAUAAGAAUUAUGUUAUGCUUAUCCUUCACCAAUUAAAUUGACGACAAUCAACGGAUUUGGCAUACUACUUAUUCUCGUAGAAAGGAUUAAAAGAGAUAUAGCGUAAACUUGAGAAGGUCUUCAACGAACCACCGGUAGGAUUGGAACAACAAAUGAAUUGAUAUGAUGAACAAGGAAGAGAGAUCUUGAAAGAACCACCGUAAUAAUUGAAAAUGAUCGAAGUAGGGGUGCAUCACCGGUAAGAAUUAGCAAAUGAACGAAGGUGCUUGAGACAAACUAGAUACAUGAGAACAAAGAGAUCAAGAACUGAUUAGAGGAUAUUCGAUAGAUGCACCGGCAAGAUAGGAGAAUGAUAACUGACGGCUGAGAAUGAAUAAACCUGAAUUGAUGGACUCCGGAUGACAAACUGAGAAGACUCUUGAAUAUCUCCUGAUGGGUGAAAAAGAUUCUCACAAUCGAAAACAAUUAUGAGAGGAUGGCAGCAAGCUAGCACCAUGAAUCUUGAAGAGAAUAGAGCAAGAUUAAAGAGAAACUCUUCUUCGGUCUUCACAUGAUGAGAAUGACAACGAGAAACACCACCAAGAAUUAUUGAGGCACACCGGAAGAAUCAAAAGCGAAGAGGUUGAGCCAACUAUGAAAAGAAUUUGAAAGAUCUUGGAGAAAAGCAUUUGACUGAUGAUAACUCAUUCUUACGUCAAACUUGGAGAAGAAUUUAGGAUAGCUCUGGGAAAAUAGAAGAGUCAGGUAAGAUCCUGGGAAAAGACCUGUGGGUUAGGGCCCACUCAAAAGAAACAGCGUUGAAAUGAUUUAAAAGAGAGGUUGCAUCGGUUGAAUUAAAUGACUUGAAUGAGAUACCAAUCUCGAAAUAGCUUGAACGAAUGCAGAGUGAAAACACGAAUCUUCGAGAUAUCUUGAGCACUCCGGAACAAUUGAAUAGCGGGAAGUGAAUUAUUAUGAGGUGCACCGGUAUGAGAAGACAUUGAAAUGAGGAAAAAGGGUGGGUGGGCGGGAAAAAACAAAGGCAACUUGGAGACGGAUGAAACAAACACCGUUGAGAAGAAAUGAUAAUUGGUCUUGCUGAUGUUGAAGUGAUCGGAUCCACUUGAGGAGAGACACACCGGUUAAAAAAAAGGAUUGACAAGACAGACUCGAUGAUCAAGAAGGAUUAGUAUUCACAUAGGAAUAUGAGAACACCAUUUGGGAAAAGGUAUGGAAUCAACAUUUGACUUCGAAGCAACUCGAAUACCACAAAUAAAACAAAACAAAGGAUUUGGCUUGCAGAAUGAGCCGGAACAAACAUAUGAUAGAGAUUUUGUCCGAAGUUUUUGUGGUGGGGCCUACACGGGCUCGAUCGUACAGCACCAUCAUGUACAAGACAGUGCACAUGACAUACGAAGCGUCCCCGAGUCGGCAUAGCCAAGGACUCUUUAAGACACAACGAGACCACUAUAAAAACGACCGUGAAUAGGCGGACCACUAGACGUCGAACCCCAAUGUCAUAUCAUAGAUCUGUCGGAAAGAAAACCUAAGAGCUACUUGAAUUCCCACCUAUGAAACUCCCGAAAUUUUCAGGUUAUGCAAUCAGGUGUUGGGGAUACAGGGGAAGCAUAAUAUCUCACCCAAAACUAACAAAUCCUACAUCCAGCUGUAUCCAUCCUUCAACACAUAACCAAGAAACCUUCGGAAAUCGUCUACCUCAACCUUCGAAAAGCAUCCGUUAUACAAGUCAUGGCAAUACUCCCGUACUCACCUCAGUACUGGGUUAUCGGGGUUAUCUCACCAACAACUGCAUAAAAGAGAUUUUCGAUGUCGGCGUACUAAACUCAGGUAUUCCAGAACUGCAACGAUAAAAUUAUGACGACAACACCUCAGAGCUCAACUCCCCGGGACACUUCCACUAAACCCCUGACAGGAGGCACCAAGACAAUGUUCUCAUCAUAAAACCAUCGGAACGAUUCCAAGAUACCCGCGUGAUCCUAAAAAAUUUUUAGUGAAAUUUGAGAAGAGAAGAGUUAAAACUCUACGUCAGGAUGCCUUACCAGAGCGAUGAAGAGACUGGGGAGUAAAAAGAAUUCCUAACUCUCUGAUAUAUAUAAUCCUAAAUGACUCAAAACAUUUUUCUAGACACAACUCGGCCGCUAAAAACGAUCAAGCAGUGGGGCUCCUAAGGUCGGGGAAGGCUCUGAUUACCAACUUGUAACGCCCUCGAUGCGGCUACAUCUCCCACGUGUCGAAGCACGACUUAGAGGCAUAACCGCAUUGAAAGCAAUGUCGCAAGUGAGGUAAUCUUCACACAACCCAUGUAAUACAUAAGGGAAAGAGAUACAUAGUUGGCUUACAAUCGCCACUUCACACAAUUACAUGAAUAAAGCAUUACAUCAUCCAGAUACAAUCAAGGUCCGACUACGGAACCAAAAUAAAAGAAGAACCCCAAAUGCGACAAAGGUCCCCGAUCAACCCCAACUGGGCUCCACUACUGAUCAACUAGAAUGAAACAACACAAAGGGCAAGAUCUUCAUCGAGCUCCUCCUUGAGCUUGGUUGCGUCACCUGCUCGGUAACAUAGGCACCUGCAAACUGGUUUUGGAAGUAUCUGGUGAGCCACG
rnacentral:lncRNA from 1 species